CGCAGCCGCGGUAAUUCCAGCUCCAAUAGCGUAUAUUAAAGUUGUUGCAGUUAAAAGCUCGUAGUUGAAUUUCGGGACCAAUUUGUUGGUCGUGCCUCGGUACGUACUGGUAUUAUUGGUUUCUCCCUUCUGAAGAACCUCGAUGCCAUUAAUUUGGUGUCGUGGGGAAUCAGGACUGUUACUUUGAAAAAAUUAGAGUGUUUAAAGCAAGCAUACGCUUGAAUACAUUAGCAUGGAAUAAUGAAAUAGGACGUUUGAUUCUAUUUUGUUGGUUUCUAGGAUCGACGUAAUGAUUAAUAGGGAUAGUUGGGGGCAUUAGUAUUCAAUUGUCAGAGGUGAAAUUCUUGGAUUUAUUGAAGACUAACUACUGCGAAAGCAUUUGCCAAGGAUGUUUUCAUUAAUCAAGAACGAAAGUUAGGGGAUCGAAGACGAUCAGAUACCGUCGUAGUCUUAACCAUAAACUAUGCCGACUAGGGAUCGGAUGAUGUUAAUUUUUUAAUGACUCAUUCGGCGCCUUACGG
rnacentral:rRNA from 1 species